rnacentral:rRNA from 1 species
GCCUCUGAUUUAUUAUAGGAGGUCCAGCCUGCCCAGUGACCCAGUUAAACGGCCGCGGUACCCUAACCGUGCGAAGGUAGCGCAAUCACUUGUUCUUUAAAUGAGGACUAGUAUGAAUGGCAUCACGAAGGCUACACUGUCUCCCCCCUCCAAUCAGUGAAACUGAUCUCCCCGUGAAGAAGCGGGGAUAAAACCAUAAGACGAGAAGACCCCAUGGAGCUUAAAACUCAGUUCCACCUGCACACCAAUAUAUCACAUCAACCCUGCAGACCUGCUUACUAGUUUUCGGUUGGGGUGACCACGGAGCAAAACAAAACCUCCACGACGAAAGGACAUCUCCCUAAUCCAAGAGCAACAACUCUAAGAAUCAAAAAAUUGACGUUACUUGAUCCAAGUUUAUUGAUCAACGAACCAAGUUACCCUGGGGAUAACAGCGCAAUCCAUUUCAAGAGCCCCUAUCGACAAAUGGGUUUACGACCUCGAUGUUGGAUCAGGGUAUCCUAGUGGUGCAGCCGCUACUAAAGGUUCGUUUGUUCAACGAUUAAAACCCUACGUGAUCUGAGUUCAGAC